rfam:Gossypium arboreum cultivar AKA8401 contig_28193_1, whole genome shotgun sequence.
AUCCCAUGAUGAGGACACUUACGAAGUAACUCCUUGAAUCGCUCCCAAGUAUCACACAAAGACUCGUUAUGCAAUUGUUGGAAUGUUGUGAUCUCGUUCCUCAACUU